rnacentral:rRNA from 1 species
UACGUAGGGUCCGAGCGUUGUCCGGAAUUAUUGGGCGUAAAGAGCUCGUAGGCGGUUUGUCGCGUCUGCUGUGAAAUCCCGAGGCUCAACCUCGGGUCUGCAGUGGGUACGGGCGGACUGGAGUGCGGUAGGGGAGAAUGGAAUUCCUGGUGUAGCGGUGGAAUGCGCAGAUAUCAGGAGGAACACCGGUGGCGAAGGCGGGUCUCUGGGCCGUAACUGACGCUGAGGAGCGAAAGCAUGGGGAGCGAACAGG